rnacentral:rRNA from 1 species
ACGAACGCUGGCGGCGUGCUUCACCCAUGCAAGUCGAACGGAAAGGCCCUGCUUUUGUGGGGUGCUCGAGUGGCGAACGGGUGAGUAACACGUGAGUAACCUGCCCUUGACUUUGGGAUAACUUCAGGAAACUGGGGCUAAUACCGGAUAGGAGCUCCUGCUGCAUGGUGGGGGUUGGAAAGUUUCGGCGGUUGGGGAUGGACUCGCGGCUUAUCAGCUUGUUGGUGGGGUAGUGGCUUACCAAGGCUUUGACGGGUAGCCGGCCUGAGAGGGUGACCGGCCACAUUGGGACUGAGAUACGGCCCAGACUCCUACGGGAGGCAGCAGUGGGGAAUAUUGCACAAUGGGCGGAAGCCUGAUGCAGCAACGCCGCGUGCGGGAUGACGGCCUUCGGGUUGUAAACCGCUUUCGCCUGCGACGAAGCGUGAGUGACGGUAAUGGGUAAAGAAGCACCGGCUAACUACGUG